rnacentral:lncRNA from 1 species
AAAGCCAAAGGUGGAAAAAGAGACUGAGAGGGUGACUAGGCAGGCUAGGCAUAGCUCCCUGGUCAUUUGGAAUCAGAAUCAAAUAGCCAGGUAUUUAAGGUACUGCUCCCUCAAGUUUUGGAAAUGAAAGACUGAGCUUCUGGAUUGUCUCCCUCUCUGCAUCAGUUACAGACGGGUCUUUGCAAAACAGACUGGCCCCACCAGACACAUGCAAGGCAUGUGCCCCUCAUCCAGAGGAAUGAGCCAUGCUGGGCAGACUCUGAGAGCCUGAUGGAAACUCAGGGGGGUGAUUCAGAGAACAGAGUCGUCGGGGAGAGAAUUAGAAAAGCAGAGACGGAGGUAGGCAACUAGGAGAGGGAGAAAUGGGACAAGCUGGAGGUAAUGGAGUCUCCUUCAUGGCUCUCCAUGUGCAGACCCUUGGUGGCAUCUGAACACAGGUGGUCACGGAGGGAACCCGGGGACCUUUUAAUCUCUGAAGGAUGCCAACCAAGUCAGGGUCAGCUUUCAGUGCAGAAGUGAGCACGGUUCACUGACCUUCUUCUGGGCUUUGGUAAAUGAAGGCGAUGACAUUGGCUGUGCUGAUCUCAGGCCCGGAAGAGGGAUCCACAAGUCACAGAGUGAGGGUGCAGUGAAUUCUGCUCCAAACCAGAAGCUUGUUUAUAGGGCAAGGAGUAUAUGCACACAGGCAGGUGUGAGAUUCUAACCGGUUACUGUGGGGGAGCCAAGUAUAAUAAGGCCAACAACUAUCUUCUGUGAGGUAUUACCAUUCUAACUGGAUCCCUAGGGACAGUCCAAUAGCAGUUGAUUUCAAGGCUCCCUUGUGAGGCUAUGUCCAUGGCUGGUGGUAAGUAAGGUGUAGUAGAAUAGUCUCAGGUUUUCCAAGGGAAGUUCUGGUCCAUUUAUCAGAUACCUUGAUAGACAAAGGGGCCUGGCAAGUAUCAUUAUCCCCAUGUCUACAGUUUCAAAAAUGGGAGCCCUUUCACUCUGGUCUGUCAAUUUUAUUUUGAAAUUAUUUUCUAGCUAGGAUUUCUGAUGAUGUAGGCAGCGCUCCCUUUGUCCCCAGUGAAAUACUUUUUCAUACCAUUAUGCUGCAUUCAACACAAUGAUAACCAUUGUGUUGGUUGAGUACCCAUUCUGCUCCAGUCAACUUCUUCAAUGAUGUCGAUAGGGUGGUAAACACACAGUCACAUGCUCUCCUUGAUAACAUGCUCCCCUACUAACCAGCAUCCUCUACCACUCCCUGAUCACACUUCCUUCCUUCAGAUCUGAAGAACCAUUUUUCUCCUGAUCCACCCACUGCUCUUCUAAAAUCCAGCCUGCUCAGCACUGAAUUAGAUUCUGCAUCACCUAAAAAAACCCCGCAGUUAUCCUCACAUCCCCUCAAUCAUCUAAAGCUCUUCUUUGUACUCCUGGAGACCCUAGACUCCUAUAAAAUUUAUUCAUUCUAAAUGUGUAGGAUGGCUUUUUCUCUCCACUCCACCAUAUACCCCCAGCACCAUUUUCAAAUUAAAAACUAAUUUAUUUCUUUGGGACAUUUCUGUAACAUAACUCAGGAUGGAGGAAGGCAUGUUUUUAAAGCAUAAAGCACAAAAGUUAAGCUUCAGGAUAUUGAUCUUUGCAGCACAAGAUAUCUGAGAUUCCUUCAGAUUUCCAUCAAAAAAUUCUCAGAAAAAAACCAAUUUGUCAACCUUUUAUUUUUUUUAUUUUUAUCUUUUUAAAUUUUAUUAUUUAUGAUAAAGCAGACUCCAUGCACCGGGAGCCCGAUGUGGGACUCGAUCCCGGGUCUCCAGGAUCGCGCCCUGGGCCAAAGGCAGGCGCUAAACCACUGCGCCACCCAGGGAUCCCCUGUCAACCUUUUAAAAAAUAGCUAUUUUUAUAACCAUUAAUUGAUAUGCUAAGAAGAAAGCUUGCUGGUCUACUCAUUUCCUUAUAACCUCUUGUCUACAACAUUUUAUUGACAGAAUUCCAACCCAAGCAUGAUACGCAAUUCAACUUCGGGUGACAAAAUAUUUAUAGAUGACCCUGGGACAACUAAGGGUAAGAAGCACAGCCCUUUGGGCAGCAGACAUCUGCAUAAAACUUUAAUUCCCCCAAAACUUAACAACUAAAAGCCUACUGUUGACUGGAAGCCUUACUGAUCACAUAAAUAGUUGAUCAACACAUAUUUUGUGUUAUAUGUAUUAUAUAUUGUAUUGGCACAAUAAAGCAAGCUAGAGGAAAGGAAAUUUUAUUAUGAAAAUCACUAGGAAGAGGAAAUACAUUUGGAGCACUGUACUGUAAAAAAUCCAUGUGUAAGUGGUUUUUCAUAGUUCAGACCCGUGUUGUUCAAGGGUCACUUGUAAAUCAAAAAAAGAGAUGUCCAAAAGUGGUAUAAUUUCCAGAGCCAUUAGAGCAAGGAGUUGUUAACUCUACUGAUGCUAUGUGACAUAAGUCUGUGUAUAUUUCCAUUUGUUUAGAUUUUCUCUAGAGACUGUCCAUGAAUCAUAUGCAUCUUUCCAUGAAGGAUUGCCUGUUGUCAUUAGGGUUAUUCCUAUGUACUUUACAUUUUGGAUACUAUUUAAGUGGCAUCAUAAAAUUUUAAUUUUCUUGUAUGUUUGUGGGUAUAAAGAAUGCAAUUCAGUUUUUGUAUAUCGAUUUUGUGCCCAGUAACCUUGUUAAGAUCUACCAAUUUUAGUGUAUUAUCUGUACAUUCUUUUAGUUUUUCUAUGAAGACCACCAUACAUCAUCUGUAAAUGAUGACAGUUUUGCUUUUUUAUUUCCAGUUCUUAUACCAAUUAUCUAUUUUCCUUGCUUUAUUGUACUUUCUAGAUCUUCCAUAUAAUCUUAAGUAUGUAUACACAUACACAAUGGAAUAUCUCUCAGUCAUCAAAAAGAAUGACGUCUUAAAAAAAAAAAGAAUGACGUCUUGCCACUGGCAACAAUGUGGAUAGAACUAGAGGGAAAUAAGUGAGUCAGAGAAGACAGAUACCAUAUGAUCUCACUCAUAAUGUGGAAGUUAAGAAAGAAAAGAGAUGAACAUAUGGAAAGGAGGAAAAGAAAAAAGGAAAGGGAGACAAACCAUUAAGGACUCUUUACUUUAGAGAACACAGUGAGGGUUGAUGGAGGGAGAAGGUGGGGAUGAGCUAGAUGGAUGGUAGGUAUUAUUAUAAUUUUAAAAAUAUUUUAUUUAUUUAUUUGACAGUGAGAGAGGGAGAGCACAAGCAGAGUGAGUGGGAGAGGGAGAGGCAGGCUCCCCACUAAUCAGGGAGCACAAUCAGGAGCUCAACAUCAAGACCCCAGGAUCACCACCCAAAAUGAAGGUAGAUGUUUAACCUCUGAGCUACCUAGGCACACUGGAUGAUAGAUAGGUAUUUAAGAAGGCACUUGUCAUGAGGACUGGAUAUUGUAUGUAAGUGAGGAAUCACUGAAUUCUACUCCAGAAACCAGCAACCAAUAUUGCACUCUAUUUUAACCAAGUAAAGCUUAAGUGAAAAAAAAAA